GAGGGAUUUUAGUCGGUAGGUCCGAGGACUUAUUCUUCCUCGGGAAUCCGACACUACCCAGUCGUACGGACGGCUAGGUGUCUUUUGAAGAUUUCCCCUC
rfam:Agrilus planipennis Contig57223, whole genome shotgun sequence.